UACAGAGGGGGCAAGCGUUGUUCGGAAUUACUGGGCGUAAAGGGCGCGUAGGCGGCCCGCUAAGUCGAACGUGAAAUCCCCGAGCUCAACUCGGGAACUGCGUCCGAUACUGGCGGGCUUGAAUCCGGGAGAGGGAUGCGGAAUUCCAGGUGUAGCGGUGAAAUGCGUAGAUAUCUGGAGGAACACCGGUGGCGAAGGCGGUUCUCUGGGCCUGACCUGACGCUGAGGAGCGAAAGCAUGGGGAGCGAACAGG
rnacentral:rRNA from 1 species